UCAUCGACUAACGCGGUCAAGGUUAGAUAGACGAGAGACGGAGGAAGAUAAAUACACAUAUAUAUAUACAUAAAUGGUUGUAGGAAUGUAGAUAGAGAUUUUGCAAGAAUCCUCGAUCUAAAGAAUUCUUAGAAUGAAUUCGUGGGACGAAUUUACGAUGCAGUGUGUACAUUACGAUGUAAUUUACAUAGCGUGAUACAUGGAAUUUACAAUAUACUGAAACAAAGAUCUAAAAUUUAAGGAAUAUUUUAAAGAAGAAAUUCUAGUGCAACUAUGAUUAUAAUGUAUAAGUACAUGCAUGGAAUUUACAAUAUAUUAGAUAAAAGAUUUGAAAAGUUAUCAAUUUAGGGUCUAGGGAAUUUUUUUUUUUUCGAAUUCUCAGAUUCAAAAAAAAUUGUCAUUACUUUAUAAAACAUUAAAUAAUUUUCGUUAUAUAUUAUUUGGCAGAACAAUUUGAUAGUUUUAUUAAUUAUUCUCAUUUUAAAAUUUCACAGAAAACUCAACUGUUGUCACAAACAAUAAUAUCGAAAACCAAUAACAAAGCUGAACACGUAUUCCGUUUAAUCGAAUUCCACAGAAACAAAGCCACAAGUUUAAAAAGGAUCCCUUUCCGCACAACCAACCGCAGUUGGCCGCUGAAGACGAUCAAAAAACCGCAAAAACUUGAUCCCGCGAGAGGAUUCCGUUUACCCAGACAAAUCGUUCGAAAUGGAAUCAUGGGCAAACGAUACCGCGCAGGAUGUCCCCGUCGCGCUAGAUAACCAGCGUCGAGCGGUGGGGAAGGAGGCAAAGUGAACGAAUGGAGAAAAGGAUGCAACAGUCGAGUGCACACUCUGUUCGGGAUAAGGUCUCGCGGUGAGCUACGGAUAUUCGAGAUGGUUAGAGAAUAAAAAACCGACCAAAGGAAAAAAGUAAUGGAGAAGAAUGAAACUAUAAUUGAAAAAUGAACAGGGCAAGGCAAACAGAUUAACAUGUAUGAAUAACAGAUAGGUUAGAUGCAACAUGUAUGAGCUGCAAUCAAGGUGCAAUCUGAUUUUGCCAUCAACGAAGUGAAUUGAAUUGAAACCAUGUAAGGAUAUGUUGGAAAAGAUGAAACUAAAAUGUGAAAAAGAGGUACAUGAGACAAAAUAAACAAGUUUGCUUAUAUUAUAUUAUAACUUAUAAUGCAACAUAUAUAUGGACUGCAAUCUGCACUUGCAAUUUGUUUGAAUUGGAACCACAUACAUACAUACUGACAUUCAUUUUUCAUUCUCUAUUAGUUUUGUCUACAUUGUCUACAGUCCAUAUUUUAGGAAGAGGAUUAACAUGGCAAUUUUGAUGAUAUAUAGAUGUACAGCACACAUAUUAUAUACUAUAUCACAACAUAAAUUUGUUGUAUGCUAACUAAAUAUGUUGAACGCUAAUUGGAGAUUUGUUUCACUCUCUGAAUAUUAUACUAAAUACUUUACAUUGAAUAUCUUUUAGGAAGGAGAUUAACAUGGCAAUUUUGAUGAUAUGUAGAUGUACAGUACACAUAUUAUAUACUAAAUCAUAACAUAAAUUUGUUGUAUGGAGGUUAUCUAGGAAUAAAUUAUGAACGUUCAGGCAAACUCAAGUUUUUCUGAUCUCAAUAAGAGAAGUGAACGCUAAUUGGAGAUCUGUUUCACUCUCUGAAUAUUACACUAAAUACUUUACAUUGAAUAUCGUUUGUACAUCUUUACGCAUUUAAUUUUCCUGUAAAUACAAUAACAUCUACCGCCCAUCGAUAAUAUUUUACAUCCUAACCUCUUCAAAAAGUCACACAACAAAUCUUAUAACACAAUUAAUUACAAUACCAUUUCAUACCAUAAUAGGUACAUUACAGAUAAACUACGGAUUUUUAGACUAAAUUUAGAGGCACAAAAAUCUACAGACUGUAUAUGAUCUAGAAAAAUAAUAAGAUAUCCAAUGCUCUGUCCAAAGUAUUCUUUAUAAUUUUUAUUGGAUGAAACAAAUUUCUAUGUAAGUUUCAUUUCUUUAAUCCUGUUCAUAAAAGCAUAAAACUGUAUAAAAAUUUGCAGUCUAAUUCUAAAUAAAGUAACCAAUCUCAACCUAAUCUAAAUUAUCAAUUGUUCAGGUGCACAAGAUUAGGUGAUUCACCCAGAGUACAAAGAAAGGGUGGAGGUGGGGUUAAGGUAAGUACAUAUAGGAGGAAGGAGAAUAAUAAUUCGACAAAGCGGCGGUCGGAAAGAAAGAAAUCCAUAUUCAGAUCCGAUGAUGUAUCCGGGGCCGCGAGAGGGCUGCUCCCCAUUCAAAGGGGAGGAGGUAAAGGGAAGCAAGCCUAUGGAAGAGGAAAGGAAGGAGGAAGCCGCGUGAACGUGUACUAGGUCCCACCACUACUAUACUCACCUCACCCUUUUCACAUCUUUCUUCUCUUUUUCUAUCUUUCUCUGUUCGUACAGAGAGUAUAUGCCGCGUUUUGCCUUUAUCAUCGGCGGCGGCGGCAAACCCUUAGCCGCGCCACGAUUAUGAUUCCGAUUAUUAUGAUUAUGAUUAUGAUUAUGAUUAUUAUGAUUAUUGUUAGGUGGAGGUAUCGCGUUGCCGUCACGGGCACGUCGACCCAUGCUUUGUCCACGUGACAGCGAUAGGGCCCAUUUAUGUCGAGAACACACACUCCACGCCGACGUUAUAAUGGAGGAUAAAUCCAGCCGAAAAGACCACAAUACAUACAUCGUUCUGUCGUAGCAUUAACCGCAAAAUCCUACAAAAAUCUCUGUUUCGUCUAAAAGGCGAAGGACGCACCAAACUACCAAGCGUGAGUGUAUAGAGGGGUUAAAAAUCCUAUUCUAAAAAUUCCGAGAAAAUCAGCCUUCUAGAAACCAUUCCUACAUGAAGAAACACUCUACACCACUCGAACCAGUUCGAUAACCUAACCCAGCUCCUCUCGCCGUACCUAUACAACCCUCUCCUUCACUCGACGCUGACGAACAACCUCGUCUACUUCAUCUUCAAAGAGACAACAACCUCACUCUUCGAUAGGCUGCUACUGCUAGACGGAAAAACUGUAAUCGGAUCCGUUUCAAGCAGAAGGAGCAGGAAACACCGAGAAGAGUUUCGAAAAGACGUCGCAAAGAGAACUAGAACCGCUACCGACGAUGAUCAGACAACAUCUAUCGUCGACGCGGUCGUAAACCGACGAUACCAGACGAAAAGUCGACCGUUCGUCAGGUUGUCUGGCUAAGAUUCGCUGCCGUGGUUCCGUUUACGAACCCACAGAAAGGAACGUAGAUAAAUACUCAUGGGCGGCUCUUACAGUUUUACGACCGUGCCACGGUUCUACGUUUGCUCGCUCUAUUUGGCUAACGACAAUUCUGAUCUGCAUUUUCUCAAACCGAAACUAUCCUUAUCGCCCUCUGAGAUUUCUCGUGGCAUCUGGUGAAUCGCGCGUGGAAUGCGCUUGGCAACGCUUCCGCGUGUCUUUUGGCCGUUUUAUUGAUGGUGUACAACAAGUACUACACAGGAUUAUGCAAUUUUGUAUUUAUAGAAAUUCGGAUAUAAGUUAGUUUUAGUACGCGAUGCAGUGUUUCAGGAAUCUUCAAAGAAAAUUGUUCGGUGAAAUUAGAAUACAGAAACCCUUGUUUUUCAAUGUCUUGGAUCGUAUGUUUUAGGAAUAUUCAAAUAAAAUUUUAGAAUUCGAAUAUAGGAGAUUUUUAAUUAAUGUUUUAAGCUUAAAUAUUUAAAGAA